GGGCAGCCGCGGCCGGGCCCCGAGCGCACCCUCUGUGCCGCCGAGGUCGCGAAGCAGCGGCCUGGCAGGGCCGUUCCUCCCCUCGGGGGGCGGCCAGCCCGCCAUGAGCCACCAGGAUGCUUUCCUUGGAAAGAAGGAAAUGGAAGUGUCCGAAACGACUUCUGUGCGAGGCUGAUCUUGUUUUGUAGGCAUGUUUUUUUCCCGUUAUGCUAAGCACUACGCAGAAAGAAUGGUGUGACAUAAAAACACGCUGCAGGAAUGUUCCCUGAGACAAUGUGGUGCUAAUAGCUGUUUUCCAAGAAAGAGAGCUACGUUUCCUCCUAUUCAUCGUGCCCGCAAGCUCUCUGGGAGGUUUCCUCCUUGUCUGCCGUCCUGGGAUAAUGUGAUUGCAACCACACAUCUUUAUUCCAUGUCUGUUCGUGCUCGAGUGCAGAAAAGCCUUGGGGGCACUGCAGCUCAGGGCUCGUCCGCGACCUCUUUGCAGCUUGUGGCAGACUGAAGGACCCAGUGCAGUAAAAUAAUGAACUCCUUGAAGAAUCAUAGCCAGGAACGAGAACAGUGUUGAAGAUUGCUGCUGGGAAGUCUAACAAGAAGUCAGGGGGGAAGAGAAAUUACCGUGUUCUCUUCCACCGGAAUUUAAAUGAAAUCUGUUUAACUGAAGUCUUAAUUCUUCCCUGCAUUGAAAUGCUGUGAUCUGGAAAGCAGCAAGUUUGUACUUCUAUACUAUUACAUCAAUGAAGAGCUUGAUUUUGUAUGCUUCCUUAUUGAAUAAUCUGCCCUGAUUUAAUUGGAAUUUGGCUGAUGUGAAA